CGCCGCGGGCAGGACUCGAACCUACGCGGUGAAACCCCACUUAACCACUGGACCACCGCGAC
rnacentral:tRNA from 1 species